CCGAGUUUACAACUCCCAAACCCCUGUGAACAUACCAAUUGUUGCCUCGGCGGAUCAGCCCGCUCCCGGUAAAACGGGACGGCCCGCCAGAGGACCCCUAAACUCUGUUUCUAUAUGUAACUUCUGAGUAAAGCCAUAAAUAAAUCA
rnacentral:misc_RNA from 1 species